rnacentral:tRNA from 1 species
GGGCGGUUAGCUCAAUGGCAGAGCGCUCGCUUGACGUGCGAGAGGUUGUAGGUUCGAGUCCUACACCGCCCA